rnacentral:lncRNA from 1 species
UGAGUUCCCUGUGAGGCCCUGAUGUUGUUUACGAUCACGUGUUGGCCAGGGAUCCUGGCCUCUGGAAACUUCCAUUGGCAACAUUAGCACAGUAGGAGGGUUUGGAGAUCAGUCCACGAAUUUACCACCCAGCGAAAUUAACUGGUUUCUAGUCACACCACUAAUGACAGUUUAGACACAGUCAAAACGGUGAUAAAUGGACCUAGUUGGCCCAAGCUGAUGGAUUCAUAAAUAAAUAUUUAAACCACAGCCUUUCUCUGACAGCAGAGGCAUCAGAGAGCAGAGACGCUAUAAGCAAAGAGUUAAGGAGUCAAGGGCCAUAGAAAACUCUUCCUGACACUUGGUUCAGGCUCAGAGGGCAACUGAGAUGUCCAUCUGGUUAACCAAAGAGGGCUUCCAGGAGGAGGUUCUGGGACUUCAAAGAGCCUCCAACUAGGCUCAGUUGUUCUUCCGUUUUCAUCAUCAUCUCAACAGUCAACUCUCUUAAAGUAUAACACGGUACAAGAUGGGCUCUCAGUCUGCAGGUGAGUGAGUGGAGUCGUUUCCCCAGAUGUUUCACGAUCCCAGGCCUGGUCCCUUUAAGGCAUCGAAACUCAGAACAUUCUAUCAGCUGCCUCGGCCUCCCCGUGGCGCGCUUACGUCACCCUUCGGGGAAGCGGCUGACGUCAGCGCGUUCUUGGCGAGUGGGGCGGGGCCGGUGACUCACCCGGACCGCGCCCCUUGCUCCCCGCCCCCGCCGGGCCGCGCGCACGUGAGCGCGCGCUGCGCGGGUUGCUAAUUUUAGCUCCGGCGGCUUCCCUGGGGUCCCGUGAGGUGAAGGGGAGUGGAGGGGACGAGGCGGGCAAGGAGCGUGGCUCUCCUCGUUCCUUCCUGCCCCGCCGUGGGUUUUCCUCGAGGACCGGGCCCGGCCCGAGGGGUGGGGGCCCGCGGGCGACUCGAGGUGCUGGAACGCGGGCGCUUACCGAGGCGAGAACCUAGGGGGUCUCCCCGCGUGGAAACCCCGCCCCUCCCUCGGCCUUGGACACAGUCGGCGCUCAAUAAAUGAAUCGAAGUUUCUUCCUGGACGGCGACCCUGGGCUUUCGGGAGAAAGCCAGAGGGGCAGGGUUCUGGAAGGUUCCCUGGCGGCUGGGGUGCGGUGCGGGCUGAAAUCCGAGCAGGAGCUGGGCGCGGCCCUCGGGGACCGACUAUGGGGGACGGCGCCGCGGGAGUGGGGCAAGUGCGGGCCUGGACCCUUGGGGCCACCGCGUCAGCAGUCGGCGGGGCCGUGGGAGGGACGGUGCCCGCCCGCUGUGAAGGGCGGUGGCCCUUCUAGGGUCAGGCCAAGCGCAGAGGCCUGAAGGUCACCGGGUGAGGAGCCAGCGCGGGUGCCUCAGAAGCCAAGCGCCCCGUCCCGAGCCCUGCGCGAACCAGUAUGACCUUCCAGGAACCAGAUGAGAGCUGCGUUUUCAAGAAGCAGUGCCAGACACCUUGGGAAAUCGACACUCUCCUGUCCUUGGGUGGGGGUGGGGGUCCUGGAAAGAAGCUCCGUCAGCGUAAAGUGAACUCUUAGCUUUGACUUUGCAGAGGGAUCCGUUGUGUCACAGUGACCCGCAUUCCUGUCAUUGGUGUGGUGUGUUUCACAGCCAUUGCCUCCCUAGGUAGAUUGUAAAACGGCGUUCGUAGAGCCUUUGACCUCAUAAUAUUAUGUUGGAAAUUACACGAUAGUAAACAUAAUGAUAAAUGGGGAAUGUUAAAUGGUAGUAUGGGAACAUUUUCUAAUGGUUGCAUCCUUAAAAUUUUCUGUUUCAAGUUUUUAAAGGCUAUAGCCUUAAAAAAAGCUGACUGUAGGAAAAUGGUGGAAAGAGUCGUGGAAUAAAGGUAGCUUUGGGGAUUAUGACGUGAAUAAAUGACAGAAAUUA